ACACCCGUAUUAUUGCUGUUAUGGGUUUGAACCGAGCUUAGCCUUGUUCAUUUUUUUACACAAUAGCUCUGUAAAAAAUUGAACACACCCCACUGAGCACCCUGUCGACAUGCGGGCAAAGCGCCUCUGAAAGGCCUUGAAACGCCCCAAAAAUGGCCAUCAUGCCCCACUACAGGGCAU
rnacentral:sRNA from 14 species